rnacentral:tRNA from 1 species
GCCGAUGUGGUGAAACUGGUAAACACGCACGGUUCAGGGCCGUGUGCUGCAAAGCUUGUGGGUUCAAGUCCCACCUCCGGCA